rnacentral:rRNA from 1 species
GAGUUUGAUCCUGGCUCAGGACGAACGCUGGCGGCGUGCUUAACACAUGCAAGUCGAACGGAAAGGCCCCGCUCGCGGGGUACUCGAGUGGCGAACGGGUGAGUAACACGUGGGUGAUCUGCCCUGCACUUCGGGAUAAGCCUGGGAAACUGGGUCUAAUACCGGAUAUGACCUCCCUUUAGUGUGGGGGGUGGAAAGAUUUAUCGGUGCAGGAUGAGCCCGCGGCCUAUCAGCUUGUUGGUGGGGUAAUGGCCUACCAAGGCGUCGACGGGUAGCCGGCCUGAGAGGGUGGACGGCCACAUUGGGACUGAGAUACGGCCCAGACUCCUACGGGAGGCAGCAGUGGGGAAUAUUGCACAAUGGGCGGAAGCCUGAUGCAGCGACGCCGCGUGGGGGAUGACGGCCUUCGGGUUGUAAACCUCUUUCGACAGGGACGAAGUGAAAAUGACGGUACCUGUAUAAGAAGCACCGGCUAACUACGUGCCAGCAGCCGCGGUAAUACGUAGGGUGCGAGCGUUGUCCGGAAUUACUGGGCGUAAAGAGCUCGUAGGUGGUUUGUCACGUCGUCUGUGAAAUUCCGGGGCUUAACCUCGGGCGUGCAGGCGAUACGGGCAAUACUUGAGUGCUGUACGGGAGACUGGAAUUCCUGGUGUAGCGGGUGAAAUGCGCAGAUAUCAGGAGGAACACCAAUGGCGAAGGCAGGUCUCUGGGCAGUUACUGACGCUGAGGAGCGAAAGCAUGGGUAGCGAACAGGGUUAGAUACCCUGGUAGUCCAUGCCGUAAACGGUGGGCGCUAGGUGUAGGGGACUUCCACGUUCUCUGUGCCGUAGCUAACGCAUUAAGCGCCCCGCCUGGGGAGUACGGCCGCAAGGCUAAAACUCAAAGGAAUUGACGGGGGCCCGCACAAGCGGCGGAGCAUGUGGAUUAAUUCGAUGCAACGCGAAGAACCUUACCUGGGCUUGACAUACACCGGACCGGCGUAGAGAUACGUCUUCCCUUGUGGCCGGUGUACAGGUGGUGCAUGGUUGUCGUCAGCUCGUGUCGUGAGAUGUUGGGUUAAGUCCCGCAACGAGCGCAACCCUUGUCUUAUGUUGCCAGCACGUGAUGGUGGGGACUCAUGAGAGACUGCCGGGGUCAACUCGGAGGAAGGUGGGGAUGACGUCAAAUCAUCAUGCCCCUUAUGUCCAGGGCUUCACACAUGCUACAAUGGUCGGUACAGCAGGUCGCGAACUCGUGAGAGUAAGCCAAUCCUUCAAAGCCGGCCUCAGUUCGGAUUGGGGUCUGCAACUCGACCCCAUGAAGUCGGAGUCGCUAGUAAUCGCAGAUCAGCAACGCUGCGGUGAAUACGUUCCCGAGGCCUUGUACGACACCGCCCGUC